GUGGCUUUAGAUACUAAUGAUACUUGGGAAUUGGUGCAUUUACCCCCGGAUAAGAAAGCUAUUGGAUGUAAAUGGAUUUUUACAGUUAAAGUGAAUCUCAGUGGUACUGUGGCUCAUCUCAAGGCUUGCCUUAUUACUAAAGGAUAUGCUCAGACUUAUGGAACUGAUUACUUCGACACUUUCUCUCCUGUUGCUAAACUAGCUUCUGUUCGCUUGUUUGUUUCUUUUGCAGCUAGAUAUGAUUGGCCUUUACAUCAGUUAGAUAUAAAAAAUACUUUUCUUCAUGGUGAUAUCCAGGGAGAAGUUUAUAUGAAGCAACCACCGGGUUUUGUUGCUCAGGGGGAGUUAGGCAAAGUUUGCUAGCUCUGAAAAUCCCUUUAUGGCUUGAAAC
rnacentral:misc_RNA from 1 species